CAGCAAACGGGGAGCUGCCAGUUUCCCCUCGCCGUCUCUGGACCUCCUUUUCUCCUCUCCUCAAGCUGCAGAAGCGUUCCAAGCUAAACAAAAGCACUCUAACUGAUGUUAUUUCUCAUCAACGCUGAUAGGUUUCUUCCCCCUGCACACAGGUGCCCUCCUGCAGGCCCAGCCGGCAAAGCUUCCCCAGCAGCCAGGACACCAGCGGGAGCCACGCAAAAGGCUUUUCAGCUGCACAGAUUACAUACAAAGCCUGAGAAUUGAGGAGUGUGGUCAACCUGAAUUCUGAAAUGCUCGUAUUUUUGAGUUCUCACAUGAAUUCAAGGAGCUAUCGGUGCAACUUAAGGCAGUUGGAGUGGAGGAGUGGCCGCGUACCCCAAGCAGGCCCGAGGACGUGCAGCAGCGGCGUGUGGAAGUGUAAUCAUUCACCCUUAAACUCACUGUACCAGAAUGGUGCUUGACUCUGGAUCCACGUGAAUAACAAGCCUUAGAGGUUUAUUUUGCACAAGGAGGGAUCUAAAUCCUUCCACAGGCAGUUUUUCAUUGAAAGCUCUUGGUUCAGAGGUAUUUCAGGGAAGCGCUGAGCCCCUCUGAGGGCGUUGCAAAAGACCACGGCCUCCCAAGGAGGAAAGGACACUUGGCAGGAUCAGACCCUGGUGGCUCUGUUCUAGAGUGGCCAAUUUCACAGCAGAAACUUAAUGAUGCGAAAAGACCACCUCUCUGCUGACCCAUCAUGGAAUGUAUACAUCCCGUGUUUAACAGCGAGGGCCGUGACAAGUGGACGAUGUAACAAUUCGGUGGCUUUCAUCUUCUGAGCUCACUGAGCUGUGCUGUUGGCUUUGCUGCCGGCCAUGUGCUGAGCACUGCCCCAGGGAAGAUCCAUGGCUGCACUGGAGUGAAAGAGUAGGGGCAAACUGUUUUUUCAAGGGAUUUACUGCACCUGCUGUGUUGAUGUUUUCAGGAUUAUAUCAUCCGUUUGACUUGCCCUUCAGGUGCACUACCUCUGAGAGCAGCUCCGUGCUCUCCUGCUGUAUGUAACUUGACGGUUACAACUUGCUUUGGGCUUGGUAAUCCAAGAUAGGAAUGGGAGCUAGGAUUAACGGAGGGAGAGAUGGAAAGAGAUGCAUAUGUGUAAACCUCUCUCCCUGCUGCAGAACACCACCUCUAAAGAAAAACGCCAGGGGAGUGUGCAGCCCACCACAGAGCUUUAAUGGCAGGGAGCAGGAGCUGGUAGAAAAGCAGGUGUUGAAAACCUUCAGAAACGCAGUUGGGUUAAAGAAAAAAAAAACCAAACAACAGAACAACUAAGCAGGUGGAUAUCAUCUUCACCAAGGAAAACAGAGAGGCUGCUAAAUGGCAGGCUUCCUCACUGUACUUUGUCCUGAGUGCUAUGUGUCCAGGUGCCAUUACAAGUUCUUCCUCUUUUAGAUGUGGAAGAUUUCCAUCGCUCUUCUCCCUCUCCAUCCUCUGCUCCAUCUGCACUCCCUGAUCCAAUCCCUGCCCUGUGGGCAUGCAGUGCCAAGGCUCGUUUUAAGGGAAAGUGAAGGAGGAAAGGCUAACAGAGGUAGGAUGCUCUCACUGCUCUCAUCCUGAUCCACCUUUGUUGGCACUCAGAUUGCUCAGCAAAGAGCACAGCUCUUUGGUCUGUUUAGGCUGGGCCUGGCUGGCAUUGUGAGGAGAAGGUGGAGGUCUGCUGGGGUAAAGAACAAACCAGAAAGAGCACAGGUAAAUGCACCGAGGUCUGUCUCUAUGCCUGAGCUUCCCGCUACCAGCAGCCAGGGUCAGCCUCUCUGUUAAACUUGCUGGGUGAGAUAUGUCUGAUGUCCAGGGCUCUCCAUAUGCGCCCACCAGAAAAUGUUGCUGAUAGCUGGCCCGAAUCCUCCUCCUGUCACCAGUGCUGUAAAUUCAGAGCAGCAACACUGGCUUUUCUGGCUGUGUUUAGAGCGGCACACGACUUGGCUCUGCAUUAUAACUGGUGUAAAAGCUGGUCGGGCCAGAUUCACGCCUGGUGCAGCACAGCAGAUGGAUGAGGACAGCACGCUAGUAAGGAAGCUAUUAUUCAAAUGAAGAAUUUCGUGGAGGAGGGGGGAGAGGGGGUGAAAGGAAGAAGAAAAAGGAAAAAAAAAAAAAAAGAAGAAUCAAGUUGCUGGCAACACUGACUGACAUUGUUUGGGGAUCACAGCAGCCAGAAGAGCAAGAGCAGAGUCAGUGCCAGCACACAGCCGCUCCGUGUGCAGAGUGGCACGCGGACAGCCGUGUUCUUCAGCAUGCACUCCACCCUGGACCAGGAGCCAUUGUUUGGCUGUGGCUGCACUCCUGCCAGGCUGCACAUGACGUUGUAAACAUCCACGGAUCUGAUGGGAGGCGCACGGUAGUUGGAUCUGAAAUCUGCAGGAAGAGCAGCAGAGAGAGGCAUCAGCGGGUGCAGC
rnacentral:lncRNA from 1 species